CGAAAGCCUGACGGAGCAACGCCGCGUGAGGGAUGAAGGCCUCUGGGCUGUAAACUUCUUUUCUCAAGGAAGAAGAUCUGACGGUACUUGAGGAAUAAGCCACGGCUAAUUCCGUGCCAGCAGCCGCGGUAAUACGGGAGUGGCAAGCGUUAUCCGGAAUUAUUGGGCGUAAAGCGUCCGCAGGCGGCCCUUCAAGUCUGCUGUUAAAACGUGGAGCUCAACUCCAUCAUGGCAGUGGAAACUGUUGGGCUUGAGUGUGGUAGGGGCAGAGGGAAUUCCCGGUGUAGCGGUGAAAUGCGUAGAUAUCGGGAAGAACACCAGUGGCGAAGGCGCUCUGCUGGGCCAUAACUGACGCUCAUGGACGAAAGCCAGGGGAGCG
rnacentral:rRNA from 1 species